GGCACUGUUGGGGCUGCCCAUUAAACAGUGUUCAGCUGUGGUUUCACACGAACUCUUCUAGUGAGGACACAAAUUCCACGAAUUCUAUGGAAUGAGUCCAGUUUCCAGUUCUUGGAGUAACUAAUAUCAGCUAGUCUGACAAAGGAAGACAAAUUUUCUGCUUGGCAUUUCUCUUACUGAGAAGUUACUCAUUACAAGAAGCUUCAGCAGCAAACAAAGAGAAACAAGACAGCUCCACACUUUAAGUACCGACGAUUACAGAGGUGUCUUAAUCCACGUGGGCACAAACUCCAACCGCAGUAACAGUGAGGAAGAAAUCGUGAAUGAAACACGGAAUCUGAUUAGAUCGGUGAAAACUGUAUACCCAACAUCCAGGCUGGUAAUUAGUGGAAUCGAAGAUCGCAUUGAAUAUGGAGGAAUGUACCAUCCAGGUGAAGAAAUAAACCCUCUCAUCUGAUAUCCAUGAAGCAUAUUUUUCAGUAAAUGGAGACAACAAAUAGCUCUGCAGGUAUUUGCAACUCUCAGAACCAAGAACAACUUCCUAUCAAAUAUGAGAAAGGACAGGGGUGUAGCAAAGGCAUCUGAGGAAGGUAAAAAGGACCAGUUACCAACUUUGAUUGAA